GAUGAAGAACGCAGCGAAAUGCGAUAAGUAAUGUGAAUUGCAGAAUUCAGUGAAUCAUCGAAUCUUUGAACGCACAUUGCGCCCGUCAGUAUUCUGGCGGGCAUGCCUGUUCGAGCGUCAUUACGCCCCUCAAGUCCCCUGUGGACUUGGUGUUGGGGAUCGGCGAGGCUGGUUUUCCAGCACAGCCGUCCCUUAAAUUAAUUGGCGGUCUCGCCGUGGCCCUCCUCUGCGCAGUAGUACAACACUCGCAACAGGAGCCCGGCGCGGUCCACUGCCGUAAAACCCCCCAACUUUUUAUAGUUGACCUCGAAUCAGGUAGGACUACCCGCUGAACUUAAGCAUAUCAAUAAGCGGAGGA
rnacentral:misc_RNA from 1 species